CCCUUAGAUGUUCUGGGCUACACACGUACUACACUGGCAGGUUCAGCGAGCUUCAUGCCCUGAUCUGAAAGGAAUGGGAAAUCUUUUCAAAACCUGCCGUGCUUGGGAUAGAUGUUUGCAAUUAUUCAUCUUCAACGAGGAUUGCCUUGUAAGCGCACGUCAUCAGCGUGCAUUGAAUACGACCCUGUAUUCUGUACACACCGCCCGUCGCUCCUACCGAUUGAAGUUUUCGGUGAGUUGACAGGAGGAUUUUUUUGAAACUGGUUCGCCAGUGGAUUUUAGAUCCAAAUGCCAACGAAUCGAUGGCUUUAGAGGAAGGAGAAGUCGUAACA
rnacentral:rRNA from 1 species